rnacentral:rRNA from 1 species
UACGUAGGGGGCGAGCGUUGUCCGGAUUUACUGGGCGUAAAGCGCUUGUAGGCGGUCCACCAAGUUUGGGGUGACAGUUGCCGACUUAAUCGGCAAAGUGCCUCAAAGACUGGCGGACUUGAGGGCCACAGAGGGACAUGGAACUCCAGGUGUAGUGGUGAAAUGCGUAGAUAUCUGGAAGAACACCAAAGGCGAAGGCAGUGUCCUGGGUGGUCGCUGACGCUGAGAGGCGAAAGCCAGGGGAGCGAACGGG